CCGGCACGGGUGAGUAACACGUAUCCAACCUGCCGUCUACUCUUGGCCAGCCUUCUGAAAGGAAGAUUAAUCCAGGAUGGCAUCAUGAGUUCACAUGUCCGCAUGAUUAAAGGUAUUUUCCGGUAGACGAUGGGGAUGCGUUCCAUUAGAUAGUAGGCGGGGUAACGGCCCACCUAGUCAACGAUGGAUAGGGGUUCUGAGAGGAGGGUCCCCCACAUUGGAACUGAGACACGGUCCAA
rnacentral:rRNA from 1 species